UACGGGGGGAGCAAGCGUUGUUCGGAUUUACUGGGCGUAAAGGGCGCGUAGGCGGCCAGCACAAGUCAGUUGUGAAAUCUCCGAGCUUAACUCGGAACGGUCAACUGAUACUGUGCAGCUAGAGUGCGGAAGGGGCAACUGGAAUUCUUGGUGUAGCGGUGAAAUGCGUAGAUAUCAAGAGGAACACCUGCGGCGAAGGCGGGUUGCUGGGCCGACACUGACGCUGAUGCGCGAAAGCCAGGGGAGCGAACGGG
rnacentral:rRNA from 1 species